GCUGGCGGCGUGCCUAACACAUGCAAGUCGAACGCGGUUUUCCCGCAAGGGAAAACUGAGUGGCGAACGGGUGAGUAACACGUGGGUGACCUACCUUCGAGUGGGGGAUAACGUCCCGAAAGGGACGCUAAUACCGCAUAACAUCCUGCUCUUGAACGAGCGGAGAUCAAAGCCGGGGAUCGUAAGACCUGGCGCUUGAUGAGGGGCCCGCGUCCGAUUAGCUAGUUGGUGAGGUAAUGGCUCACCAAGGCAACGAUCGGUAGCCGGCCUGAGAGGGCGGACGGCCACACUGGGACUGAGACACGGCCCAGACUCCUACGGGAGGCAGCAGUGGGGAAUUGUUCGCAAUGGGCGCAAGCCUGACGACGCAACGCCGCGUGGAGGAUGAAGGUCUUCGGAUUGUAAACUCCUGUUGCCAGGGACGAAUGGCCACGACCUAACACGUCGUGGUGUGACGGUACCUGGUGAGGAAGCCCCGGCUAACUCUGUGCCA
rnacentral:rRNA from 1 species